CCUACGGGAGGCAGCAGUGGGGAAUAUUGGGCAAUGGAGGAAACUCUGACCCAGCAACGCCGCGUGAAUGAUGAAGGUCUUCGGAUUGUAAAGUUCUUUUCUAAGGGAAGAAGAAAGUGAUGGUACCUUAGGAAUAAGCCUCGGCUAACUACGUGCCAGCAGCCGCGGUAAUACGUAGGAGGCGAGCGUUAUCCGGAAUGACUGGGCGUAAAGGGGGCGUAGGUGGUUUGGCAAGUUAGUAGCGUAACUCCAAGGCUCAACCUUGGAACUACUACUAAAACUGUUGGACUUGAGUGCAGGAGGGGCAACCGGAAUUCCUAGUGUAGCGGUGGAAUGCGUAGAUAUUAGGAGGAACACCAGUGGCGAAGGCGGGUUGCUAGACUGUAACUGACACUGAGGCACGAAAGCGUGGGGAGCAAACAGGAUUAGAUACCCCAGUAGUC
rnacentral:rRNA from 1 species